AUGAGAAUUAAUUUUAUUUUAAAUCUGUAACGUGAUUCAUUUAUAAUCCAAUUAGUAGAUAAGUUGUUGAAUGGAGAUGUGAAGAAACAUAGAAUGAAUAAGAUACUUAAUAUGCUGUAGUACUCGAUGGAAGGAAGAGGAAGAGGAGAUUUAAAACACUACUAAGUUACAUUGACGAGAGAUCCAUCUUCUAUAUAAGAAGGAAAGGCAGAUAUAAAUGUCACAUAUUCGUUAAAUUCUUAUAUAAAGUAAUAUAAUUAUCCUUUAAUUUUUGGUAAAUUAAAAUUCUUUACUACAAAACUUACUGACAAAAGGAAAAUAUACAG